AGAAUCAACGCUGGCGGCGUGCCUAACACAUGCAAGUCGAACGAGAAAGGGUAGCAAUACCUGAGUAAAGUGGCGCACGGGUGAGUAACACGUGACUAACCUACCCUGGAGUGGGGGAUAACUGAGGGAAACCUUAGCUAAUACCGCAUAAUACCUACGGGUCAAAGGAGCAAUUCGCUUCAGGAGGGGGUCGCGGCCGAUUAGUUAGUUGGCGGGGUAAUGGCCCACCAAGACGAUGAUCGGUAUCCGGCCUGAGAGGGCGCACGGACACACUGGAACUGAAACACGGUCCAGACUCCUACGGGAGGCAGCAGUGGGGAAUUUUGCGCAAUGGGGGAACCCUGACGCAGCAACGCCGCGUGGAGGAUGAAGUCCUUCGGGACGUAAACUCCUUUCGAUCGGGACGAUUAUGACGGUACCGGAAGAAGAAGCCCCGGCUAACUUCGCGCCAGCAGCCGC
rnacentral:rRNA from 1 species